rnacentral:rRNA from 1 species
UACGAAGGGGGGCUAGCGUUGUUCGGAAUUACUGGGCGUAAAGGGCGCGUAGGCGGUGCCUCAAGUCAGGCGUGAAAGCCCCGGGCUCAACCUGGGAACCGCGCUUGAGACUGGAGUACUAGAGUUCGGGAGAGGAUGGUGGAAUUCCCAGUGUAGAGGUGAAAUUCGUAGAUAUUGGGAAGAACACCGAUGGCGAAAGGCAGCCCA